UUUCUCUCUUCGGUUUCUGUUUUCACUGGCGUGGUGAUUGCAGGCUUUGAGUGCUUCAAACCAGUGCUGUGACAGCGCUUGAAGCCCCUCAGAGAAGGAUGGAGUUUUCGGCACCGAAUAAUUAAAUGGAAGGUGGGAACAUUCCUGUCGUGUGACCACACAAAGGAGUUCCUGGGCAGGGCCUUAGGUGUGCUCUCACGGUAAGCACUUGUAAGUCACGGUAAGUGACUUGUGCAGCUUCGUUUCGUGUACUUUGUGAACAGAAGUAAGUGGCAUUGGGUUGGGUUUUUUCCUUUCUUGGAUAAGAAUACGAAUGUGGACAGUUGUAGUUGUGAAUGUACCACCGUGUCUCACCCUGGUGUACCUCACAGAAGCUUAAUGUGCUCAUCCUGUAAGUUCUUUUAGGCUUAAUGAAAAGCAUAUGCGUGCCUCUUUUCGUGUUAGGAAUUGAGGUGACGGCAUCAUUCUGUGUUCAUUGCCUAAAUGAACCUGGGAGGGAAUUCCUUUUAAUUAAGGGUUGUCGCUAGAUAGGCAACUAUACAGAAACCAGAGUUUUUAAUAAAAACUUUGAUAACCAUUGACUUAAGAAAGCCUGUAGUGGCAUGUUACCAUCUUUGUUUAUGAGAUGGAACUUCCCUUUUCCACAAUGUUGCCCAUCAGUGUAUUUUGGGAACUGGUUAUGACAACACAAGGAAAAAAAAAUGGGCUGAGGCAGAAGGUAUUUUAUUAGUUAAAGAAGUCUUUAAGAUGCAUUGAUUUUAGGGAAUGUUUGAAAGGUAAGCAUGUUUUCAAAAAGUGGCUAGGUGCUUUAAUACUGUGUGAAUACAUAAAAAUCCAGUGGCUUCUGGUUAAAAUAUUUGGCAGGCUUGAAUAGUGGAAUAUGCGGAGUUCCUUUUUGUCGAGACAAAUAAAAUAUAUGUGCUUGUCCAAGCAAAUCUGUAAAUACUGCCUGACAUUUCAAAUGUGAGCUUGUCAAAACGCAACUCCUGCAGAAAGCAAAUAGGACUGUUCCUUAAUUUUCAUUCAAGCUGUUGGAGCGCAGUCCAUUCUACAGCGCUUCGUCUGUGCUGAUAGACGAAUGGAAAGCUACAGAGGAGGCUUGUUGAAAGAUGUGUGCAUUUUCCUUGGAUGCUUUGUCUCGUGGAUUUGUCAAAACAAAACUGGCAGUUCUUAAUUCCAGAUUGCCUUGCUAAAGCUCAUGCAUGUGUUUCUCUCUUCUGCUGAUUGGAAUCAAGAGAGUACUUGCAGCCCAUAAAGAUGAAGACUAAAUCUUUGCAGGGCCAGGCUGUUGGACAGUGUGGUAAUGUAUUAGAGUGCUUGACAUUUGAUUCUCACUGUUGAACAGAAAUGAUAUUUUCCCAAUGGAUAAGUUAAUAGAUGGCAUUAAGGAUGAGAGGAGAGGAUGAAUCAGAACCCUUUAUAUUCUGAAAUGUCAUGGAGGGAUCACAUCUGUCUCCCACACCACCACGUGUGCUAUCAGUUGUAAAUCAGUAUUAGCCCAUGUGAGGAAUUAUGCCUGAUAGUAAUGAAAGUACUCUUAUAACUUGUGCUUCCUUAAAUGAUAGUGCAGUAUGACUGUUUCAGCAGCCUUAGGGACUUGUUUAGCUGCUGGAGGGAGAAAGCAUGGCCACUGGUUGGUUUCUUUGCUUGGUUGGGUUUGGUUGUGCUAGUGUGCAGCGUUGCUGUUAACCCAGUGGUGAUCUCUGCAGUCUAAAUGCACUUCCUUAACACACUGCCUUUACAAUGGGAGGUGCAGUGACUGAAUUCAGAAGAAAAACAUAUGGUGCUCUGAAAAGCCUUUUUUCUUCCCUUGUAGGUAAGAAGGAAGGCAGCUGUUCCUAGGCUGGCCGAGAGUCAGGAAGGAGCUUUUGCUGCUGAUCGUUGGGGAAGUGAAUGCUGCGUGCUUUGUGGUUCAGUGUGUGCUCUAAUAAGAUCCAUUUUACAUGUUUCUUUAAGAAGCCAAGCAGAAGAUGGAUACGCUCCUCUCUAAAACUCACUAUUAUUAUACUAAUUAAAUGGAUAAGCUUAAGCAGAUUUUAGGUUACAUGUCCUGUCAGAAUUGAUGUUUAGAACAUUAACAACUGCGCUAUUGAAACUGAUGGAACUUCUGUAAUUAAAUAGGAGGAAAUAUCAAGAUCUUUAAAGAGCCGUAGAGAACUCUUAUCUCCUUUAUUUCUUCUGAGGUAGCUAUGUUCUGGAUACUGAGUCUUGACCAUAAUUUGUGAGAAUCAAGUUUUAUUUCAGGGCCCAGUGAGAGGCAGGAGGCUGGCAAUAAUACAUGGUUCAUGAUAACAGCCAGUUUAAGUCCUCAUGCUGUAGUAGCAUACUUGCCAGAAACAGUUAUCCUGUGCCAUGCAUAUGCCCUACAGUGCAGUAACCAGUUUGUUUACCAAUUCAUUAUAUUAAAAUCUGGGGGGGAUGGGACUUUUAUUCUGUAUUUUCCUGUAGUUGUGAUUCUCUUUUACUAUUUUUUAAAUGUUAAAGGAAUGAGCAAUGAAGUAGGAAAUUGCGAAGGUUAUUAACAUGAAGCUUACAGAAAAAUCUGGAAAGUUCAUCUGUAUGUGUGUUAAAUGGAUCCCAGUGAGAAGUCAAGUUCAGUUUUGAACGUAAAGUAAGGCAUAGUUAGAGAAAGCCAAGUAACUUGCAUGGCUGGUUGUUUUGAAGUUACCUGGGCCGUUCAGGAGCUGAGUUCUGGGCAUGACGGCAAAUGCUUUGUACUGCAACUUCUGUAGGGUUCAUGAAGUGGUAACAAAAGUGAUCAGACAACUUAAGCUCCCGUUCUCUUCAAUAUCUUCAAUAUUUCUGCUGUCUACGAUGGUGGUGAGCACAGAGGAAAUGGAUGGAGAGCUCCUGCUUUUGUCUCAGUCUUGUUGGCCCAGUUUUUACAUUUCUCUUUAAAUUAGAGAUGACAUUCAGUUAUGACAGGAAUAUUUUCCUUGAAAUCAGUGGAACUGACUUUCUCCAGAAAUAACUUUGGGAAAAGCUGAGCAGGGUUUAAAAGGAUGGGUCAUUGUGAGCGUAGUAAGCAACUUCAGAACAGUCGUGAUCACUGAUAAACCUUUUUUUCAGUAAGGUAUUAAUUUUUGUCCUUCAGCCAUUACGCUUAGUGAGAGCUCUGCUCUUAGAGGGGGAAGAGCACUUCCAGUACAUCACCAUCUCCAUUAUGUACAAGCAACAGCAUAAUAUGAGCCCUAGCCUGUAACAGACCGAGGUAUCCUUUGUCGUGGUAAGAAUUUAUCUUGAUAAACUCACCUCAGAAUUAAGGUGAUGUUGGUGCUUUCUUGGAGCAAAUUUGAUGCCGUAAGUUACUGUGGUUAGAUGUGUAUGGGAGAACGAGAUGGGAGAUGCUCUUUCAUAGGAAAAUUUCAGGGCACGAGAACUUAGUGGAGCCUUGUAGCUUUGGAUGCUCCCUGACUUGCGAGACCUGGGGACAUGUAGCAGGAGCUGCAGAAGGAUGGGCUGCCUGCUGAGUGAGAAGGCAGGGUGGUGAAAUGUGAUAGACCUCGUGUGCCUCUAGCCCUGCACCAGCCCCAGCUGUGCUGCAACUGAGAGGUGGCUGGGACUCAGCAGCUGCCUGGUCUGAGACUCUGCAUAUAUGUGCAUAGUGAGACUUAAACUGAAGGUGUGCUGAAUCCCUAAUUGUGCUGCUUGGACAAAUAUCUCAGAAGCAGUUCUAGCUGAAGCUAAGCAGAAGCGAAGCAGCGAAAAGAUCGUGCACUUUGUUGCCAUGAAGCAAAAUUGCUGUAGGAUCCCUCUUUGCAAUGCAGGAGGUAGUGCGGUGAGGGAAGGGGAAGGGAUGAGAGGGAGGUGAUGCAGUGCCUAGAUAUUGGGAUCAGAAGGCACUGGCUGCUUGCAAAUACUGCUGCUCCCCAUGCUCUGGGAUGACAGUGUAGUGUUGAGGUGAUAUUAAGUCCUGAAUACAGCUGACGAAUGCUGAUAUCUGAUAAUCCUCUAGAACAGCAGCUCUUCAGCAUACUUCUUGAUGGAGGUGCUAUUCCUACUAUUGCAGGUAGCUUUGCAUUAAGAAGUGCUGCCCGGGAGAAGAGCGAGUUUGUUGGCGAUGCGGAUGAAGCCGAUGAUGGCAGCAGAGGUGGUGGCUCCUCUCUGACCUGGCCAAGAGCCAAUAAGAGCAGUGCUUGAGUUGAGGCUGUGCAGAGCAGAGUGGGACAAUCCCUUCCCUCAGCUUGUUGGCAGUGCUGUGUGUGAUGCACCCUAGGAUGCAGUUGUCCUUCCUGGCUGCCUGGGCACACUCACACUCAACUUGUCCUCAGACAGAAUGCAAAAAACCCUUUCCGCAGGAUUCCUCUGCGGUCUCUCAUCCUCCAGUCUUCAUGCACACCCCUUCCCAGGUGUGGAAUCCAGCAUGUGCUCUUGUUAAACUUCAUGAGGUUGGUGAUUGCUCUCUAAUUUGUCUAGAUCUCUCUGCGUGGCCUCUCCAACCCUGGCGGAGUCAACAGCUCCUCCCAGCUUAGUACUGUCAGCAGACUUGCUUAAACACCUUCUAGUCCUACGUCCAAGUUGUUUAUGAAAACGUUAGAGAGAACUGGCCCUAAAACAGAGCCCUGGGGAACCCCCCUAGUGGUGGGCCCUCAGCUUGAGUAGGUUGACUUGGUCUGGUUUUUGCAUGAAAAUGGUAUUUUUCUACAGAAAACCAGAAGGAAAAAAAUGUUCUGUAUGAGUCUCUCCUGCUCCUCCAUCCCAAGGACAGCAGCUGGGGACAGUGCUUUGGCUGCUCCCCUCAGCUGGGACUUGGCUUUGAGCUGUAUUUCAUAGAGACCCCGUUUGCAAUAGUACCAUGAAUUUAUUUUCUGUCACUGCUGGAACCAAAGAGCAUAAGGUAAGAGGUUGGGAAGACUUGCCACCACGCUCCAUGGGUGUAACACCAUGCACCUCCAGUCUGUAGGUGCACACUGGGGGUGACAGCUGUGCUGGUCUUUGCGAGGUCAUGGAGCUUGUGUGAUGUCCCUGCCGUAGGGAGGAAAGCAAGCAUUGCAUGCAUCCUCAAAAACAGGCCAAAGGGAUGGUCUGGCAGCUCCAGACCAGUCACCCUUGUUUGGUCCUGUGAAAAGCACGGGGUGACCUCUCUGGUAACACAUGUUUGGGUGCACAAAGGAAGAGAAGAUGACAAAACAGCAUGGCUGUACCAAGGGGAAAUCAUUCCUGAUUGGUCUGAUUGCCUGAUUAGCAGUGGCUGGGCUUGUGGAUGGAUGCAGAGCGAGGGAUGUUAUUGACCUCAAUUUCAGCACAGCCAGAUCUCACUGCUCACCUUGCUCUGAGCACAGACUGCCUGAGUGCCUUCCAGUCUCAGAACUACAAAAUAGAGUUUGAUGCAUUGCUUACUUCUCGUGCAUACAGCAACUCCAGCAUCGUGGUAUGGGUCUGUAUUUAUUUCCAAAUGUUUUCUUAUUUCAGCCAUUUAAAAUUGCCCCACUUUAAGCAGCACUAUUGAGUGACGCUGUUGAAUCCCAGGUACAAAAGCCAGUUAUUUUUCUGUCCUUGUCCUCAGCCUGCAGCCCUGCAGAGGGGGAGAAAAGCCCGUGCAUGGGGCUCUGCUGUGAUGGAGAGCAGAACUGCCUCCUGAGGAGGAGGAGAAAGGCUCCCAAGCCAUAUCUUGGCUGCUGGUGGGUGUGUGGCUGGUGGCCAAGGCUACUGGGCUUGGAGAGCUUUCACCUUCUGGUUUGCAGCAAGGCCGGCAGCCUGUGUGAAUGUGGCCAAAGGGGAGCUGAGGCAUGGAUGCUCGCGGUCACCUUGUGCCACUGGGUGGGAUGGCUGGGGGGACACAGCCCCUCCUGCUCCCUGCACAGUGCCAUGUCACAAGGAUGCAAUGGGAAACAGAAAUGGGCAAAAGCCGCAGGCAGUGCUGCGUGUGUCAGCUGUAGGGAAGCUGUGAGCCGGCGCUGAGCCCCGUCCCUGCCUGCAGAACUGCCUCUGGGUUUUGCUCAUCUAUUUUUAAAGCUCACUUUAAGGAGAUUUGUGUGUGUGUGCAGUGGAGCUGCAGCUGAGCUCUGAGGAGCAAAAAGCGCUGGGGUUCCUGGAGGAGUCUAGAGCAAACAAGGGUUGGGAUGGGUGGUCUUUGGGGUGGAGGGAAUGGGGCGGCGUCUGCUUCUGCUGCUCAGAGAGCCACUCAAACAGGGACAAAAGAGCAGAAAGGUGUUCUGUGAGCUAAAUAAGGAUAAACUGUUUUAAUUCAGGAUGCCGGAAAAGAAUGAGCAUUGGUGGGUUGGCCCUAGCAUUGCAUGGAUGAAGGUACUGCUGGCCCAGGUGGUGACUCCAUGAUGCUCCCAGGACACCACAACCAGCAAUAUGAGAACCCCCAAGGCUGCAUUUAUGGGAAAAAGCUUUCCCAGCCGUUAUCUGUGACUCUUCUUCUGUGCUCUAGGCUGGAUUUCUUUGUCAGCUGUGGAAAUGAGGAAGUCUGUGCUACAAGCAGACGUUACUGCUGUGUAUGUGUAGCAUUUGACCUUCCAUGCCACCACGGAAAUCACUCAAUGAAUCUUGAUUUUAGCCUGUAUUUCAGAGAAAGCCAUCUAUGACUGUCUGUCCCCUUCUGAUAUUGACCACUCCUAACCAAAUGGGGUGGGCAGGUUGGGAUUUGGGACCCAGCCUGGUGAGAGAUGGGGACUCUGGUCCCUCUGCCUUUUCCAUUAGCUAUUUUGAACAGCUAAUAGUAAAUCCUAUCUUUCUGGUCCUUUAAACACACACACACUGACUUUAAAAGCAUCUUCCUGAGAUAGCCUGAAAUUAUUCCUGAUCUCAUAAAUUGACGUGCUCUACAUAUUUGAUCUUCAAGCACCAUAAGCUGCACGGUGAGGCUGCAGGGGGGAGCACAUCUCGAUGUUACCAUGAGUUUGCUUUGCCACGUCACUGGUUUUAUGGGCAUAAGAAAUGUUUAACGUUGGACAGUCAUACUUUUAUUAAAAAAUAACCUUGAAAAGCUCCCUUAGUAGUUUAAACAGUUUUCAAGGGCAUAAAGAUUGCUGAGUUGUAAUUUGGUCAUCCCUCUAAACGAGAUGCAGAUUUGCCAAAAAAAUACAGGUUUGUGGCCUUGGAAAACCUUCUUGACCCAAAUAUUUCCUAAGCAGCCAUGCUGCUGUUGGCUCUCAUUGUGCUGUGGGAAGAAGGACUGAAGAGAUUGAUGGGCAACUUUCAUUCCCUGUAAUGGGCUUUGGUUUGGGUCAGUGGGUUCCUGCCUCUUGUUCGUUAUCACGAACCAGCCACCAGUAGGGGAACUAGAAGUGAGAUAGUGGGGUCCCUGCAGGGAAGGAGGGAGACCCGUUAGAAAUGUGCAGAGCUCUUUGACUUGCAUUUUCUCCCUAUCUCUGCCUUUGAAUUGCGACCAGGGCUAUGCGUGGAAGAAGGGCUGGAAUUACUUUACGUAAUCAUUUUUCAUUAAAAGGAUUACUUGGAAGCUAGUGUCUCAUGCACAGGUGUCCCUGAUUAAUCCUUGACAUUUCUGAGAGUCAGAGGCCUUCCUAUGCUAUUCAGCUUCCUGACAGCCUUCCUACUCACUCAACCGAUGCUGAAAUUAGAUUUGAAAAUUACCUUCGAGCCCACAAUGCUCCUAAGUGAGAAGCUUAUACAAGGAGUUUGCCUGUACUGGGCGCCAUCUGCCAGCACCCCAAAGCUGUAGUCUACGCAUAUUCAUGUGACUGAACUUCAUUGGUGUACUUAAUCAUGGUCAAGCUGUCUCUGCAAGCAUGUGGGAAGCAAGCUGUUGGCCUCCAGUUGACAGCUCACCUUCCCUUUCCAGUAGAGCAAGGAACAUCGCCCAUCCACCAGCACGGGAGCUGCUGGCCAGCCCCAAGACUGGGGACACCUGGGUUGGGCCACUGCAGGGUUUGACUUCCCUGUAAGUAAAUAAUAAAAUGUGAUUAACAGACUUCUUAAGUGUGACUAGGGCUUGGAUGCAGACCAGGGAGAGACCAGCUGUUCAUGGGUGUGCGAUGAUGUACAUAGGAGCUUGUCAGAUACACUGGCAACGAUUUUCACAGCUUUGUUCUCAUCCUGACUGUAUUUCACUGAAGAAAGAAGGUCUAUAGCAAAAAAAAACUGAUGAGGUGGGAGUGAAAGAACAAAUAUUUGUAAAGAGAGCCAGCUAACAUUCAUGCUUGGGACUAUCCUGACACAAGUGGAGCACCUUGUACUUGGUCUUGUUGAACUUCCUUGGGCUCAUGUGGGUCUGCCUUUCAAGCCUGUCCAGGUCCUUCAGGAUAGUUCCUCUUCCUUCUGUUAUAUCAACUGCAGCGCACAGCUUGGUGUCAUCAACAAACUUGCUGAGGGUGCACUCAUUCUCCCAUUAAUAAAGGUAUUAAGGAGAUCUAAUGGGGAUUUGAAACUAGUACUGGACUAGAAACUACAAGGCUGGAGGACUAGAGGGCCGGGCCUAGAGUGGUGGUGAAGGAGCUGAAUCCAGUUGGCAACAGGUCAUGAGUGGUGUCCCCCAGGGAUCAGUAUUGGGGCCCAUCCUGUUUAAUACCCUCACUGAUAACCUGACAAGAGAAUUGAGUGCACCCUCGGUAAAUCUGCAGUUGACACCAAGUUGGGAGAAAGUGUCAGUCUGCCUGGGAGGAGUAGGAAGGCCCUAAAGAGAGAUCUGGACAGGCUGCAUCGCUGGGCUGAGGCCAGUGGGAUGGAGUUCAGUGAGACCAAGUGCCAUGUCCUAUAGCCACAACAACCCCAAGUGGUGAAGCGGAAUCACAGAAUCGCAAGGUUGGAAAGGACCUACAAGAUCAUCUAGCCCAACCAUCCUCCUAUCAGCAUUGGUACCACAAGCCACUAAACCGUAUCUCGUAGCUCCUCAUCCAGACACCUCUCGAACACUGCCAGGGAUGGUGACUCCACCACCUCCCUGGGCAGCCAUUCCAGUGCCUGACCACUCUCUGAGAGAAAAAGUUUUUCCUUAAAAAAGGCUUAGGGCAGAGUGGCUGGAAGACUGUAGAAGAAACAGACCAGAGUGUGUUGGUUGAUGCUUGGCUAAAACUGAGAUAGAAUUGUGCCCAGGUGGUCAGGAAGGCCAAUGGCAUCCUGGCUUGUAUCAAGAAUAGUGUUGCCAGCAGGAGCAGGGAAGUGAUUAUCACCCUGUACAGCUCUGGUGAGGCCGCACCUUGAGUGCUGUUUUGGGCCCGUCGCUACAAGAAAGGCAUCAAAGCCUUGGACUGUGUCCAGAGUAAAGCAACAAAGUUGUUGAGGGGUCUGAAGCACAAGUCUUGUGGGGGGCAGCUGAGAGAAGUGGGAUUAUUCUGUCUGGAGAAAAGGAUGCCCAGGGGAGACGUUAUAGCUCUCUACAACUGUCUGAAAGGAAGAUGUGGUGAAGUGGAGGUCAGCCUCUUCUCCCAUGUAACUAGUGUGUGGACGGGAGGGGAUGGCCUCAAAUUGCACCAGAGGAGAUACAGGUUGGAUGUUAGGAGAAAUUUCUUCUCUGAAAGUGCGGCCAGGUACUGGGAUGGGCUGCCCAGGAAGGUGUUGGACUCACCGCCCCCGGAGGUGUUCAAAAAUCAUUUACACGCACUAAGGGAUAUGCACUGGGGAAGUAUUGGUGGUAACUGGACAGUUGGACUGGAUGUUCUUGGAGGUCUUUUCCAACCUUGGUGAUUUUAUGAUUUUGUGCUUCCUAUGUUCUGCUGAAGCCAGGGAUGGGCACAUGUGAGACCACAACUGCUGAGUGGGAAAGGGUGCUGGAGCCUGAGAAAAGGCAGCGAUGGAGAGUGUGGAAGUGAGCUGGCUGGAAAGAAUGCUGUGAAGGCCAGAGCUGCAGAAAAUAAAAGAUAGGAAACAGUUAGGAGAAGAAAGUGCCCUGCUACUGAAAAGUUGGAUGCGUUUCAGGAAUGGCCCCUGAAGGAUUCCCUGUGCAGCAGCACACAUCAGAUUACAAGGCACUGGAAGCAGAAAAAUGCUGAGCGUUGGGCAGGCAGAGUCAAGAGAAAAAAUAAGCUAAAUUGUUUGGAGACAAGUGAAGCAGCUCCAAGUCCAGCAGGAUAGAAAGGAGCCUCUUUACUGUGCUGAUGGACUAGGAAUGAAAACAAAGAAAUCCACUGCAACUUUCUUGGUUCUAUUAAUUAAUUGAAGGGUUAAACCAUGACGUGAUGGCUUGAUUUGACUUGACCGAAGAACUCGGAGCAGCUCAUGGUCAGGUCCUGCCAUGGAAGGGCUGGAAAGUGAGCGUUCAGCAUUCUCCUACAGCUUCUAGUUUUGGCCAGGCCACCAGCAUGCAGUCACAAUGACACAUGCACUCAGGGUAUACAAUCCAUGGAUGGCUUGGGUUAUUUAGUUAAAGCAUGUGGCAGCUGGAUUCUCCAGAGCUCUCAGAGAGGUUUGCGGUUUGUCUGGUUGUGUCUCUGGUCUACAGCCACAGAGCUUGUGGGGUCCUUCUCCUUGGAAACAUUCAGAACAUGCCCAGAACAGAAACCAUCUGGGCAUGGUCCAGACCAACCUGCUGUAGGCGUCUCUGCUUGAGCAGGAAUUGGACCAGAUGACCUCCAAAGGUUCCUGCCAACAUCACGCAUGUGACUGUGGGAUUCAGCCACCUGCAUCAGAAGCAGGAGGAAGGAGCUGGUCCAGGCAAGGGUCGGCACGCUGGAGAGCCCCACGAUAAGUUGGCAUUUCGAUGUCGCUCCUAGAAUUAAACCAUGCCUCUGAAGCAGGGAGAAACCACAGGCACCACAGCUGCCUGCUGGGAGGGAGGACAUUUUGGGAAGCUUUACUGUGCAGCAGUUUGAUGAUAGCUUUCUGAACUUCCUCUUUGCUUUGAUUUACAUUGAAAUUUGUAUGCAGCCAGCUCAUGUUUUGUUGCUUUGAAGUACACUUCAGGUAGCAGCAAAGGGGUGGCAGAUAUUAAAUGAAUAAUUAAAUGAACGGAAGCAGUUAGUGCAGACACAAAAUGGAAAGCACAGCUAUACAAAGGAGAGAUCUCAUCACUCUUCUCAUACAGAUAAAACGCAUUCUUUAUGCAGAUGAGGAUAGUUGGCUUUCAGGAAUUCAGAUGGGAUUGACUUAGUUGAAAUAACAAAUCUGGGCAAGAAAGAAAGCACUAGCUUUGAUUUACGUGGUUGAAGGAGUGCUCAUCCUUUGACAGGGUGUCUUGCGCUGCCUCCUGUGCCCACAUAACCAUGGAGGCAGAUGGAAAGGUGCAGCUAUCACGAGCAAAUGGAUGGGAAUACGUGUCACCAGAGACCACGGGUGAAUAACGUUUCCCAGACCAAAGCAGCAAUUCGUAUCCAUUGGUGCAGGCUGCACAUCUCGUGUUCCAGAUGGCACCUCGGACAACUAACUGUGACAGAAUGAAGUUCAUCCCCCGUCCUGCAAACCAUCUCCUCUUACUUCAUACUCAGGGAGAAAGGAAAAAGGGUUUUUUUGAGUUACGUGGUGGUGUUUUUUGAACGUUCAGGACAUGGUGUGGGUGGCUCGGGGCUGCAGAAGCAAUAAAAUCUCUUCCAUUUCUUAGCGAGAGUAAUGCAGUGGACAGAUCACCCUCUUUUUCCAGGAAAACAUAUCAUAUUAUGGGACAUUUUUUAAAGGAACGUCUUAUAAAUGUUUUUCGAAUAAGAUCCUGGAAGCCUGGAAGGAAGCAUUGCACAAAAGUAAUAAAGUCCUUUGCUUCAGCCCUUCCAAAGCGAAAUGCUUGGCUCAGUUUUUUUUUUUGCGAGGCAGUGUGUUGUUCUGAAAUUCAUUUUAUGUAAAAAACCUUGACAGUUGUUGAAAUGACAACAAACACUUUGACAGGCAUCAAAGGAUCUGCUCAUCUUUGGAAAGUUUCGUUUGAUAGGAAUUGCCAAAACUUGUUGGUUUCCAUCCAACACAGACUAAAAGCCUGCUGCAAAACCGGGGAAUUCCCUGCAAGAUGGAAAUUCCAGCUCCCACGCAGCCCUGGUUUCUCACCUUGGCUUUAGGCUCUUGGUUGCACCAUCCCUGGUUCACCGGGACUGCCUGAGGUGAGGCUAUGGAGGCUGUGACCGCCUCCUCUGCUUCUCUGCAGCCGCAGCCUCAGGCACCAAGACGUGGGGACACCCAGCUGGAAAGCGGCUCUGCAGAAAUAGCCCUGGGGGCCCUGGUGGACACCAAGUUGAACAUGAGCCAGCAGCAUGACCUGACCGGUAAGGGGGUUAGUGGUGUCUGUGGGUGCAUUGGGCAAAGUAUGGCCAAUAGCUCAAGGGAGGUGAUCCUUCCCCUAUACUGAGUGUUGGUGAGGCUGCAGCUGGAGUGCUGGCCCCUCAGUGCCAGAGAGACUUGCAUGUACUGGAGGGAGCCCAAUGAAGGCCACUGAGAUGCUGAAGAGCCUGGAGCAC
rnacentral:lncRNA from 1 species